UAUUCCACGUAAGAUUAGCCGUAUUCAUGAGCGGCAGCUCAUGAAUCGACGUUUAAAGUACAUUUUCAUUGUCGAGAAAUCGCCUUCGAAAUAUUGUAUUAGAUUUUAAUAUUUCUUCAUCUUCAAUGGAACUAACAGAAAUGUUCGCAAUAUCGUCGAAUUUGAAUUUAUAGUUUAAAAAUGUAUUGAAAAUGAACUUAAAAAGCUUGAUAAACCACUUAAGAAAAGUCAGCUAAGCUUUCUCGCGUCUAUUUUAAUUCAGGACUGGCGCAAAGCGCGACGUGGGACGUAAAAUAUCUUAAAUUAGUCCACUUGGAAAUGAGCAGGCGCAUUGAGUCUAACCUCCAAAUGUCUCAUCCCUACAUAAACCAUUUAAUAUUUAAAGAUGAUGGUUAUCACAAUUUGGCAUUCGUCAACGAAUUGUCCGAAAAUUAUCGUGCGUAAUCAGACUAUUAAUCACCAAAUUUUCAUCAGUAAAAAAUCAUCUAAAAAUACGGUAAGGAGACGCCAGGAAGGCCGAUGGAAUUUCAGCAAACUGCAUAACCAUUCAAAAGCGUAGGACUUGGAAAACUCAAUGAAAAGGAAAAAGAGAGCCGCGAAUGGACGGAAAUUGAAAGUGAUUUCAUGGUAAGAACAAGAUACAUGAUGCAAAUUGGGCAACCAGUAUCAAACCGUCACGGAUCAACGAUAGAUCAAAAAGUAAAGAAUAAAAUCUUGUAAAUGAAUGAAAAAAAGUAACAGAAAAAAUCAAAUUCCUGUCGCUAUGCAGAACUCAAUAGUUGUAUAUGGCUCGCAGACUCGAAUGGGGCUUUCGUACGGCCGUGACCUCGUCCGACUAUCGUGCCACCAUGUCUGUCUGUCUGAGCAGACACCGUUCCUACGAUGCAUAUACGUUCAGGUAUAUCUUAUACCUCACCUCGCCUUACCUACCUACCUACCUACCUACCUACCUAAAGGAAAGGCUCCCGAGCUACGGCCUUUCUCACUGCCUUUGGUAAGUUAAAAGAAAUUCAAGCAACACGCCCACAGAGUGUGGGGCUGGUGCUGCUGCAGAUGCGAAGGCGUUGAAGAAUGAAAAGAAUUAAGAAUAAGAGUAGAAAAAGUGUAGAUGAUACGCGUUAGAAGUGCCCGUUACAAGAAUCGAUCGAGAGUCAUUCUAUGUAAUAACUACAGGAAAUGAAAAUUGAUAGAAUGAACCUCGAUUGGAAUAAGAAAUCGAACGGAAUAUCAAACGUUACAAGAAAAUGGUGAAUCAGCGUAGAAGGUACCCUCUAAUGCUGAGUCUCACCAAUGAUGAAAAAACUUGAAAAUAACUUGGAUAAUAAUAACCAUAAUAAGAAAUGCAAAAAAAGAAUCGGUAGACAUGAGGGGAAAAGUCAAAAUGAUCCCUGCUCCGCGUGAGAGGGAAUGAUAGUCGAGGACCCCUUUUACCAAACCAACUCAGCCAACCAACUUCGUACGCUGCUCUCUAUUUCUAGACGGGGUUCAUUUACUUUUUCCUUUUAAACGGAUGCUUUCGUUGCUAUGCUGUCCGUUGGUACGACAUAUGCGACGAUGCUGCAGAAUACCCAAAUCUACAAGGAUACACGUAUUAUCGGAAUGAAGCUUCAAGAAUCUGAAGACAGCUAUAAAACCUUCCAAACUUUCCACGUGGUUAGUGACGAUAUUGAACGUCUAAUCGAAAUAAACAUCCUACGUAAAUUCAAUACUCUUAGAAAAAAAGAGUUGAUAGCAUGCAACGAUCGGGAGUGAGGUGAUAAAAAAUAAAAA
rnacentral:lncRNA from 1 species